UUAGAUGUUUCUGAUUUUGAAUUUGGUGAUUUUUUAAAUGUUUGAAAUUUAAGGGUUAUGUUUAUGAUUUAGGGGUUUGGAGUUUUGAGAAUAUAAGGGUUAGAUUUUUUAUAAGUGUUAUCUUUUAGUUUUUCUUUUAUUUUAUUAAAACUUGAAAAUAUGAGAUUUGAGAUUUUGAGGUAAGCUUUAGUGUUUAUGUUAUUAGGUUUAGAUAUAGGAUAAAGGGUUUAAGGUUUGAAAAUAUGUUAAAGAUUUAGGGUUUGAAAUUUAAAGUGAAACUAGAUUUUGAAAAUAUAAAAUUUUAAAUUUAAACUCAACAUUUAAAAUCAGAAUAGGAAAUAUUUGAGAUUUAGGAUUUGUUUUUAUAGUUUAGUGUUUAAAAAUAUGUUUAGAAUUUAAAAUUUUGUUUAGGGUUUAGGGAUUCAAACAGGUAAACAUAACGUUUUGAGUUAUGUGCUAUUAAAAAUAUG
rnacentral:lncRNA from 1 species